CUAUUAUACAGCCAGGCUCAGUCGCCAUGGCUCACACAAUGACCCUUCUGAUCUGGCCACAACAGCCGGAAUGGGUGCCAAGGCUUCAGUCCCCACCCACUGCAGACUUAGGUAUGCACUUCGAGUAUAUUUGCUCUUUCCUCCCCAAAAGAGGGGGAUUGAAUGCACCCCUAGAACACAUACUCCGUUUCAAGACAAACAAGACUAACUGGAGCAAACCACCUGCAAGCGCAGCUCCGGGUCUUUCCGGCCUCCUGGGAAGACAUUCCAGAUAGUGACUCUGGGACGUCAUCCAUUUAUAUCAGUGAAGGAACUUGAGAUAACUGCGCAGACGCAGCCAACACUUCCUUUUUUUAGAAGCCACCAAAAUGACUGAAGUGAAGCAGCAGAAGAAGCAGACAUUCUGCAAGUUCACCUACCGUGGUGUGGACCUGGACCAACUGCUGGACACGUCCUUUGAGCAGCUGAUGCAGCUGUACAGCACCCGACAGAGGCGACGUCUGAACCGUGGCCUGCAUUGGAAGCCACACUUGCUACUCGGGCACCUGAGAAAGGCCAAGAAGGAGGCGC
rnacentral:lncRNA from 1 species